rnacentral:rRNA from 1 species
AUGAACGCUGGCGGCGUGCCUAAUACAUGCAAGUCGAGCGAACAGACGAGGAGCUUGCUCCUCUGACGUUAGCGGCGGACGGGUGAGUAACACGUGGAUAACCUACCUAUAAGACUGGGAUAACUUCGGGAAACCGGAGCUAAUACCGGAUAAUAUAUUGAACCGCAUGGUUCAAUAGUGAAAGACGGUUUUGCUGUCACUUAUAGAUGGAUCCGCGCCGCAUUAGCUAGUUGGUAAGGUAACGGCUUACCAAGGCAACGAUGCGUAGCCGACCUGAGAGGGUGAUCGGCCACACUGGAACUGAGACACGGUCCAGACUCCUACGGGAGGCAGCAGUAGGGAAUCUUCCGCAAUGGGCGAAAGCCUGACGGAGCAACGCCGCGUGAGUGAUGAAGGUCUUCGGAUUGUAAAACUCUGUUAUUAGGGAAGAACAAAUGUGUAAGUAACUAUGCACGUCUUGACGGUACCUGAUCAGAAAGCCACGGCUAACUACGUG